GACAGAGGGUGCAAACGUUGUUCGGAUUUACUGGGCGUAAAGCGCGUGUAGGCGGCUUGGCAAGUUGAAUGUGAAAGCCCACGGCUCAACCGUGGAAGCGCAUCCAAAAACUGCUUCGCUGGAGUCUCGGAGAGGAAGGUGGAAUGCUUGGUGUAGAGGUGAAAUUCGUAGAUAUCAAGCAGAACACCUGCGGCGAAGGCGGCCUUCUGGACGAUGACUGACACUGAGAGACGAAAGCCAGGGGAGCAAACGGG
rnacentral:rRNA from 1 species